GGCGGGGGGCAGGGGAGAAGGCAACAGUGUACCAGGCAGAAGUCAAGCUGGCAAACAGGUGGGCUGGAAGUUACCAGGGGCCAAGAGAGGCCCCACCUUCCUGAGGUGCUCCAGGCCACCUGGUGAUCCUAGGGUGACUUUUGAACCUCAGUCCAACUAAGGCACAUCAAGGCCACCGGAUGAGCAGAAACUCCUUCUCUAAUUCUGCCUCUGUGACGGAGGAAAUGGAAGAGCGAGAAAACAGAUCGCAGCUGAAAAAGAUGAGCGUCCAGAUCCCGGGAGUGAUUUUCUGCACCGUUCAUUUUGGCGAUGUCCAGGGCAGCUGAAAGGGACGGCUCGUCUGCGGGAUGAGAUAGAUGCAGACGUCAAUAAGGAAUUCAUGGAAGCACAAAAGGCGGGCCGGCUCUCCCUGGCAAUGCCAACAGUAUCCUGCCUGGCCGUGCCGGUUCGCUGUGCUCACCACCCCGGCCUCUAGCCUCCAUCCUGCUACAAUCCCACACACAGGAUCGAGUCUUCUUCACGUUUGUGGGGAUUCCGCCUUGGCCAUCUCCACCGACAGCUGAGACAGGACUAUUCUGGAACGCCCAGGCAGGGGGCUUGAGGGUGACCUGAGUUCCAGGAGAGAGCCCUGGGCAUAUCUUGAGGAUGACUCUGCAACUGUCUGUUUAUUGAAGAGGUUUGGGAGAGGCCGAUGGUGAUAAAGGAGGGUGUCACAGCCUCCCCCACUCCCAUCUCUGGCAAGGCCAACCUCCUCCUCCCCCCACUGGACUUUCUGUUCUACUCUCAGCCUCCCCAGAGAGCAGGACCUGAGUUGCACAGUUGAUGGGCCAGGGUCCUCCUAGCCCUGGUGGGGCCAGUGUUGCUGAGACGCUGAUGAUGCUCUGGUGGAAGGCCCCACCACGCGCACCCUCAUCCUGAACAGCUGCUGGACCCCAGCACGCUCCGCCACUAUAAAAAUAUCAGCACUGCCGCCUCAGCUCCUGGAGAAGGUCUCAGCGUGACAGCCUGCAAAGUAAUCCUGCAUUUGAAUUUCAUCUACAAAUCCUGGCUUCCCCCAGACAAACUCAAACCUGCACAGAUGGCCCCUCACACCAAAAAGUAAAAAUAACAAAG